rnacentral:rRNA from 1 species
UGAGUACGAGAUGCUACGGCAUCGAAGCAGUCUAUGUCAUACUUCCAAGAAAAGCUUGCAAUGUCAUAAACAAAUAAUGCCUGUACCAUAACCGACACAGGUGGGUAGGUAGAGUAUACUAAGGGGCGCGAGAUAACUCUCUCUAAGGAACUCGGCAAAAUGACUCCGUAACUUCGGGAGAAGGAGUGCCUUAUUUUAUAAGGUUGCAAUAACAAGAUCCAAGCAACUGUUUACCAAAAACACAGGUCUCCGCUAAGUCGUAAGACGAUGUAUGGGGGCUGACGCCUGCCCAGUGCCAGAAGGUUAAAGAAGUUGGUUAGCAUUAGCGAAGCUGAUAACUGAAGCCCUGGUGAACGGCGGCCGUAACAAUAACGGUCCUAAGGUAGCGAAAUUCCUUGUCGGGUAAGUUCCGACCCGCACGAAAGGCGUAAUGAUUUGGAUACUGUCUCAGAGAGGGGCUCGGUGAAAUAGACUUGUCUGUGAAGAUGCGGACUACCUGCACCUGGACAGAAAGACCCUAUGAAGCUUUACUGUAACUUGAGAUUGAAAUUGGACUUUAUUUGCGCAGUAUAGGUGGGAGACGUUGAAAAUAUUCUUGCGGGAAUAUUGGAGUCAUCAGUGAGAUACCACUCUUAUAAUGUUAGAUUUCUAACUUUGUAUCAUUAUCUGGUCAAAGAACAGUUUCAGGCGGGCAGUUUGACUGGGGCGGUCGCCUCCCAAAGGGUAACGGAGGCGCACAAAGGUUUCCUCUGAACGUGUAGAAAUCGUAUCUAGAGUGUAAAGGCAUAAGGAAGCUUGACUGUGAGACCUACAAGUCGAGCAGGGACGAAAGUCGGUCUUAGCGAUCUGACGGUGCUGAGUGGAAAGGCCGUCACUCAACGGAUAAAAGUUACUCUAGGAUAACAGGCUGAUCUCCCCCAAGAGUUCACAUCGACGGGGAGGUUUGGCACCUCGAUGUCGGCUCAUCGCAUCCUGGGGCGGUAGUACGUCCCAAGGGUUGGGCUGUUCGCCCAUGAAAGCGGUACGCGAGCUGGGUUCAGAACGUCGUGAGACAGUUCGGUCCAUAUCCGGUGUAGGCGUUAGAAUAUUGAGAGGAGCCUUCUUUAGUACGAGAGGACCGAGAAGGACAUACCUCUGGUGUACCAGUUAUCGUGCCAACGGUAAACGCUGGGUAGCUAUGUAUGGAGAGGAUAACCGCUGAAAGCAUCUAAGUGGGAAGCCCACCUCAAGAUAAGUAUUCUC